rnacentral:rRNA from 1 species
UACGUAGGGGGCAAGCGUUGUCCGGAUUUACUGGGCGUAAAGAGCGUGUAGGCGGCCACGCAGGUCCGUUGUGAAAACUGGAGGCUCAACCUCCAGCUGUCGACGGAAACCGUGUGGCUAGAGUCCGGAAGAGGCGAGUGGAAUUCCUGGUGUAGCGGUGAAAUGCGCAGAUAUCAGGAGGAACACCAGUGGCGAAGGCGGGUCUCUGGACAGUUCCUGACGCUGAGGCGCGAAGGCCAGGGAGCAAACGGG